rnacentral:snRNA from 14 species
AGCUUUGCACAGUGGCAGUAUCAUAGCCAAUGAGGUUUAUCGAGGUGCAAUUAUUGCUAAUUGAAAACUUUUCCCAAAAGUUUACACUCUUCUAUUAAUAGACAUUAUAUAUAUGCACACAUAUAUUUUUCCCAGUGGACCUGUGUAUGUAAUGCUAGGGGUGUAUAUGGAGAGAAAUAGAAUUGCUAAAUUACAAAUAUUUUGU